UGUUUGAACUCAUUCCAGAAUGCCGGAUUUACUUUCCACGGAGAAACAGUACCUGGCUGGACUGCAUUUUUCUCUCCCUCCUUAGCCACCGGAAGAUCGGAAACAAUAUUCUUUUGAUGCUCAGUGCAGGCUCAGUAAUGCAGUGCGUGCCUGUGUGCAAGUGUGACUCCUGCAGUGGAGAAGGAAGACAAACUUUGCUACCUUGUGAAACGAAGACUUCUUAGGUAGCAGUGGAACUGAAAAUAAUCCUCUUUGUCCACAGACUCCACAAAUGAUUAACUUGAUGAUUCAGUGAGCCUGGCUCAUAAACAAGAAAGAGAAGAGGUCAUCUGGGUUCUUCUGAAGCUGAGUGUUGAUGACAGAUUGAGAGAGAGAAGGAGUAAACCACAGCACUAUGUUUAAAAGCAGCCCAAUGGAACAAAGGGAUCUACCAGCACUGGUGAAGUCCCUUCUGUGAACCACGUAACAGAAGCUGCUGUCUCAGUCACUGCUUCCCACUGGCAAACAGCCUAAGGAGGAGCUGUCUAUAGGUUGUGCCUGCUAAGCAUUGAAGAAGUGCACAUCCAGCCUCCUUUUUGCCCCUCUUGCUGAGGCCAGGUACACUGUGGUCCUUCAGGAUGGAACACAUGGCAGAUCUGCCUUUUGGCAGCUGGCUGAGAAGGGAAUGCCACCACAAAGGAAGGAUUACUGAGGCAAGGCUCAGGUUGUAUUGGAAGGCAACACAGGAGCUGUGCAUGACAAACAUC